UGAUCUGAAAGUCCUCUCAAUGAGCUACAACAGGUCAGUGGUGAUCUGAAAGUCCUCUCAAUGAGCUACAACAGGCCAGUGGUGAUCUGAAAGUCCUCUCAAUGAGUUACAACAGGUCAGUGGUGAUCUGAAAGUCCUCUCAAUGAGCUACAACAGGUCAGUGGUGAUCUGAAAGUCCUCUCAAUGAGCUACAACAGGUCAGUGGUGAUCUGAAAGUCCUCUCAAUGAGCUACAACAGGUCAGUGGUGAUCUGAAAGUCCUCUCAAUGAGCUACAACAGGUCAGUGGUGAUCUGAAAGUCCUCUCAAUGAGCUACAACAGGUCAGUGGUGAUCUGAAAGUCCUCUCAAUGAGCUACAACAGGUCAGUGGUGAUCUGAAAGUCCUCGAUGAGUUACAACAGGUCAGUGGUGAUCUGAAAGUCCUCGAUGAGUUACAACAGGUCAGUGGUGAUCUGAAACAUGAGUUACAACAGGUCAGUGGUGAUCUGAAAGUCCUCUCAA